GCUGGCGCGUUUCCCUCGCUUGCGUCGCCUGGAGCGCUUGUAUAGGAACGCAGCUCCUCCGACUAAAAUGUCCAGUAAAACUUCUGAAUGUUCAAAU